AGAGUUUGAUCCUGGCUCAGAACGAACGCUGGCGGCACGUUUUAAGCAUGCAAGUCGGACGGCAGCAGGGGUAACUCUGUGAGAGUGGCGAACGGGUGAGUAACACGUAGGUGAUCUGCCUUGAGGCUGGGGAUAGCCUGUGGAAACACAGGGUAAUACCGAAUGAGCUGGACUGGCUUUGGCUGGUCUAGGAAAGGUGC
rnacentral:rRNA from 1 species